rnacentral:rRNA from 1 species
AACGAACGCUGGCGGCAUGCCUAACACAUGCAAGUCGAACGAGACCUUCGGGUCUAGUGGCGCACGGGUGCGUAACGCGUGGGAAUCUGCCCUUGGGUUCGGAAUAACAGUUAGAAAUGACUGCUAAUACCGGAUGAUGACGUAAGUCCAAAGAUUUAUCGCCCAAGGAUGAGCCCGCGUAAGAUUAGCUUGUUGGUGGGGUAAGGGCCUACAAAGGCGACGAUCUUUAGCUGGUCUGAGAGGAUGAUCAGCCACACUGGGACGGAGACCCGGCCCAGACUCCUACGGGAGGCAGCAGUGGGGAUUAUUGGAAAAGGGGCGAAAGCUUAAUCCAGCAAUGCCGCGUGGGGUAUGAAGGCCUUAGGGUUGUAAAGCUCUUUUACCAGGGAUAAUAAUGACAGUACCUGGAAAAUAAGCUCCGGCUAACUCCGUGCCACCCGCCGCCGUAA